rnacentral:antisense_RNA from 1 species
CUUUAUGGUGGCUGUGCGCGGGAGGGCUUCGGCCCUGCCGGGUUUCCCUUUUGGCUCGGUUCGCCAAUCCGCGUACAGCCGCCACCCCU